rnacentral:rRNA from 1 species
UACGGGGGGAGCAAGCGUUGUUCGGAUUUACUGGGCGUAAAGGGCGCGUAGGCGGCCAGCACAAGUCAGUUGUGAAAUCUCCGAGCUUAACUCGGAAAGGUCAACUGAUACUGUGCGGCUAGAGUGCAGAAGGGGCAACUGGAAUUCUUGGUGUAGCGGUGAAAUGCGUAGAUAUCAAGAGGAACACCUGCGGCGAAGGCGGGUUGCUGGGCUGACACUGACGCUGAAGUGCGAAAGCCAGGGGAGCGAACGGG